rnacentral:rRNA from 1 species
AGCGAACGCUGGCGGCAGGCCUAAUACAUGCAAGUCGAGCGCACCUUCGGGUGAGCGGCGGACGGGUGAGUAACGCGUGGGAACGUGCCCUUUGGUACGGAACAACUGAGGGAAACUUCAGCUAAUACCGUAUGUGCCCUUCGGGGGAAAGAUUUAUCGCCAUUGGAGCGGCCCGCGUUUGGAUUAGGUAGUUGGUGAGGUAAAGGCUCACCAAGCCUACGAUCCAUAGCUGGUCUGAGAGGAUGAUCAGCCACACUGGGACUGAGACACGGCCCAGACUCCUACGGGAGGCAGCAGUAGGGAAUCUUGCGCAAUGGGCGAAAGCCUGACGCAGCCAUGCCGCGUGAAUGAUGAAGGUCUUAGGAUUGUAAAAUUCUUUCACCGGGGAAGAUAAUGACGGUACCCGGAGAAGAAGCCCCGGCUAACUUCGUGC